rnacentral:lncRNA from 1 species
UGGAGCAACAUAGCCAAUGGUUCCUUUGAUUCCAAUCGUGCUGGUUUGAUUUAGAGAUGAAUCGUCAUUUAUUGUGAAAAGUUUUGCUAGACCAAAAUCACUUACAUGAGCAACCAUAUCAUCAUCAAGAAGAACAUUGCUUGGCUUUAUGUCACAAUGAAUGAUAGGCUUAUCACAAAGAUCAUGUAGAUAAUGUAAUGCUGAUGCCACAUCAAGCUUCUUGGUUGAUUUUCACCACUUUCACACGGAUGCAACCACUUUUCUAGGCUUCCGUUCCCCAUAUAUUCCAAAAUCAAAGCUUUGAAUGUAUUAGAUUUAUAAUCUAAACUGGAGCAACAUUUUAGGUUGCUAGAAGGAAAGAGAGAGAGGCAGCAGCUUUGCAAAAGGAAGCAAGGAAUUCUGUGUCUAAGUUGGUUGGACCCACUUCAUUAAACAUUGAGGAUAAGUAUAGGUUCAUGAUUGCCUCUUCAAGCAUCAAAGGAGAGGGCGCAGCAGAUAGUGCUUGGGAUGAUUAAAUGGAAGUUUCCUUCAGUACCUCUUACAUAGCUUUGAUGAUACAUGCUUAUGAUUCCAUGAAUUUUAAGGUCAGUGAUGCUUUGUCGUUUCUGCGACUGUUUGUAGUGAACCAUGUUCUUUCUUUAUCCACAAUGAUCCAAGAGUGUAGUACAAAACAAGGAUUAGAUUCCUCUUUCCCUUGUGUAUUUGUGAACACAAAUAUUAAAUAAUAAGCAGUAUGUUAUGUGCAUAUUAUGCAAGUGAAGCUGAUGAAAUAAAAAAUUGUUUAGGUGUACAGUUUCUGAGUUGGGGCUCAAACAUGAAGAUGUGCUGAAGAUUAUAAUUUCUGGUGAGUUCAUCUUCCAAUGUCGUUGCUCCAUUACAUGUUCAGUUGCCAGUUGUAUCAAUGGUGGAUUGAAUGAAUGAUGGUAGGACUGCUUGUGUAUUGUGAAUAUUGUACAUCUUAGGAGUGUCCUAGUGAAAACUCUACAAUUUGAUCUUGUGAUUUUGAUACUUAUGGAAGUGUCGACUUUAAUCAAGUAUCUUUGCAUUUGUUAUCUCUAUUGGGAAUUUUGCCUUUUUAAUCAUUAGAUUUUGUGCUAAAAUGAAUUAAAUAAUCAUUGAUCUAACAUGAAUUAAUUAAUUUUAGUCUACUGAUCUAGCAGAUCCAGCUGUAGCCUUUGAGCUGUUAACAAAUUAAUUAUAUUUGAUGAUAUGCAAUUUGCUAUUCAAAAUGACAAAGGCCUGAUUGCCUUAUGGUCGGCAUUAUGUUCGUCUAAACAGUUAAGCCUAGGAAGUAUUAUUAAUGUGUUUUAUGAUUUCAUUACUUUAUUAUAUCUUUUCUUUCUUAAUUUACUGGAGUAUUUUUAAAACAUUAAUUAGGUUUAUCAUAUUUAUAUAGACAUUUUAAUUAUACAGUAAUAUAGUUUUUUAUCUCUAUUUUUGUUAAGGGUAUAAAAACUUUAAACAGCAAAUAAAAAAACAAAUGGAGUAAGUAGUAAGUGUGGAGACGAAUUUAAGUACGCUGGUUGUAAAAGGCAAAGAAUUGGAUAGUUACAGGCGUAUGCAACGCAUUAUUUCAUUCUAUCAUUAAAUUUUAAAAUGGUUUAUUAAAUUUCAAUUUGAAUGUUUUCAUUUAAUUUUGUUCAUCUCAAUAAUGUCAAUUGAGCUGUAUUUUUAUAAAAUAAUUGAUAUAGAUUUGAUAUGAUGAUGCGAUAUAAUAAUUUUAUAACCUAUAUAAUUAUGCAAUUGUUAAAAUUAAAUAAUUAUGGUUACUAAAAUUAAAAUUGAAAAUUACCAAUAUGAAUUUGAAAUUGAAAUUGGAAUUGGAAGGCCACUUUAUUCAUGUUGAUGGAAGCUUCAAGGAAGUUCUUUCGCAGCCUCUUGUCGUCUUUAUCUCAGAUGGGUUUGGGCAAAGGAUGCCUCAAAUUGAUAAUAGAUAACGUCAAGUUACUCAAAAUAAACUUUGAGGACAAAUUGCCCAAGUCAAGCAUCUAUUUAAUAUCACAAGAAUUCAUACAUUGUCGAUCAACUAAAACAAAAGCAAGACUACAUAUGGAAACAGAUAAUAGGUGAGAAGAUAGAUUUGUGUAGAUCAUUCUUAUGACUUCUCUUGAAACGAUGAGCACCUGUAGUUCAAGUGAAGUGAAAAAAUCUUGGUUAUCUUGAAACAAUACUAAAUUUGUUGAUGAUUCAUGCAAAUUAAACUCAUAUCCUUUGGAAGGAUAUAGACUAAAGUAAGGAUUUAUAAGAUAAGGUUCUUUCAUGAUUUUAAAUUUUAAUAAUUUUUUAUUUUUAAAAGAAAAUAAAUUUUUUUAAGGUAUUUGAAAAUUUUCUUUUAAUCCACCAAUUUAGUAUAUUGAAAUUAAAAGUUUGUGAGGGUGUUAAAAAUCUUCAAAAACUUUAUUUUAGAAAAAAAAAAUAUUUCCUCCUCCAAACAUUAAAAAACCUUUAAUUACUUUAAAAAAACUCAUUCCGAGUAUAUAUCUAUAUACUCUGUUGUACUUAAAUUUUUAUAAUCUAUCCGUUUGAAAAAAAAAUAAAUUAAUUAAUUAAUCAAAUUAGAAAAUAUACGAAACUUGAGAUAGCGGUAGAAUUAGCUCUCAAUCACUUUUCAUUUGGUAAUCCAAGAAAAGUCUCUUUUAUCAGAUGCAACUUCUUUAUGACAUCUGCCAUGUUCAUUCUCUCCAUAGGGGAUUCCAUUGAACAUGCAACUCCAAUUUCAAGUAUUGAAACAAGGCACUGUCUCACAUUUGCUAUAACAUGGCUCAAGUUCCCAUGGUGAUUGUUUUCCUUUGCUUCCAUUAUUCCAUCGUCUUCAUAUUCUUCAUCUGCUGUUUCUCCAGGAAGAAUGGCUGGAUCCAUAAUUUGCAAGAGUCUUUCCGGUAAUGCUGCCUUCACAAAAUCAUGAAGAUUUAAACCCUCUUUAAACAUUUCAUCAGUUGGUCUUUUAUUUGAGAACAUCUCUAACACAAGAAUCCCGUAGCUAUAAGCAUCUCCUUCUUUUGAUGCUAAACAACCCAUUCCAUAUUCUGCAUGUAUUGUAACAGUAAUAAAAUUAGGAAAAAAUUAUUAUUUAGUCCCAAUAGUAUAAAUAAACUUACUAGUCAGUCUCUUAAUUUUAAAAAAUAUAUUAAAAUGUCUGUAACGUUUUAAAAAAUCUACUAGUAAAUCAUACUGUAAAUUUUAACCGUUAAAUAUUUUAUUGUUUAGUCCCUAUAAUUUUAAAACACUUAUUAAUUGGUCUAUCAUAUUUUUAAAAAGUCUAUUAACAGAAUUUAAAAUUUUUUUACAAUACUGAAAGCUAAAAUCAGCGGAAGAACUAAUUAGCAAAUUUUUUAAAACGUUAGAGAUAUUUUAAUGUAUUUUUUAAAAUUGAGAUUCCAAUUAAUGAGUUUCUCUAUAAUAUAAGAAUUAAAUAAUAAUUUUUAAAAAAAAAAUUAAUAUGAAAAUAAUAAGUUCAACUCACAGUUGUAAUUAUAUGCUCCAUUAAUUUCAAUUAGGGGUUAAGUAUAUAUUCAACUCAAUGGUCUUUUAAGUCUUUUGUAACUAAUAAGAAAUUUUAUCUAAUCCUAGUCUUUACAAAUAAGAAGGUUUAAUUGAAAGUAGGGCUAUUCAUGGCUGAAUCGAUUCAAUCCAAUCCAAAAGAAUAAAAUUAGUUAAAUGACGAUGUUUAAUUAAUUUGGAUAUUUUAUUUAAAUUGUAUAGAUUUUUAUUGGUAAAUCAAUAAAUAAUCAUUUUAUAUAUAAUUAUUAUAUUCUAAUUUUAAUUUUAAUUUUAAUUUUAUUUUCUCUUCUUUAAUUUUUUUGAUUUAAAUAUAAUAUUAAUUAUCUUUUUAUAUUUAUAUUAUUAUUAAAAACGUAAUUUAUCAAUCCAAUUAUUUUUUUCUAUUUUUAUUUUUAUAUUUCUAAGUUUUAAAAAUUAAAAUUAAUUAUAUUUCUACAUUUAUAAUAUAUUUUCUAUAUGCAUUAUUUUGUAACUAUUUCAAGUGCAAUAAUUUUUUUAAUUUCUGUAAAAAAAUUAAAAUUAGCUAUUUUUGUGAAAAAAAAUUUAAAAUAAUAUGCAUAAAUUAUUUUAAUUUUUUAUUUUAACUUUUUUAAUUUAUGUAAAAUUAAAAUUAUCCAUAUUUAAAAAAAAUUAAAAUAAUAUGCAGAAAUUAUUUCAACUUUUUUUUUUCAAGAUUAAAAUUAGUUAAAUUUGAUCCAAACCAACCGAUAUCUGUAAUUGAAAGACAUCAAUUUUUCAUUAUAUGAUUAAAAAAAAAAAAGACUAUUAAAGCAAGAGAAGAAGCAGAAGUGAAAGAAAAAAAAAAAGGAAAAAGGAAUUUAUAAUUGUUAAUUACCUGAAGCAACAUAACCGACAGUUCCUUUGAUUCCAAUUGUGCUAGUUUGACGUACAGAUGAAUCGUUGUUGAUUUUGAAGAGUUUUGCUAGGCCAAAAUCACUUACAUGAGCAAUCAUAUCUUCAUCAAGCAGAAUAUUGGCCGGCUUUAGGUCACAAUGAAUGACUGGCUUUUCACAAAGUUCAUGCAGAUAAUGUAAAGCUGAUGCUACAUCAAUGACUAUAUUGAGCCUCUGAAGAAGGUUCAAGCUUCUUGGCUGAUUUUCACUUGGAUGCAACCACUUUUCUAAGCUUCCAUUCUCCAUAUAUUCCAAAAUUAAAGCUUUGAAUUCAUUAGAUUUGUAAUCUAUGCUGGAGCAACAUGUUAUGAGCUUAACAAGAUUUCGAUGCCUU